rnacentral:rRNA from 1 species
UACAGAGGGGGCAAGCGUUGUUCGGAAUUACUGGGCGUAAAGGGCGCGUAGGUGGCCUUCUAAGUUGAACGUGAAAUCCCUGGGCUCAACCCAGGAACUGCGUCCAAGACUGGGAGGCUUGAAUCCGGGAGAGGGAUGCGGAAUUCCAGGUGUAGCGGUGAAAUGCGUAGAUAUCAGGAGGAACACCGGUGGCGAAGGCGGGUCUCUGGGCCGAUACUGACGCUGAGGAGCGAAAGCGUGGGGAGCAAACAGG